UACGAAGGGGGCUAGCGUUGCUCGGAAUCACUGGGCGUAAAGGGUGCGUAGGCGGCGGGGCAAGUCAGGUGUGAAAUCUCGGGGCUCAACCCCGAAACUGCACUUGAUACUGCCUUGCUAGAGUACUGGAGAGGAGACUGGAAUUUACGGUGUAGCAGUGAAAUGCGUAGAUAUCGUAAGGAAGACCAGUGGCGAAGGCGGGUCUCUGGACAGUUCCUGACACUGAGGCACGAAGGCCAGGGGAGCAAACGGG
rnacentral:rRNA from 1 species